AUUACAUGAAGGUUAAAUGCAAAUAAAAAAAAAAGGCAUAAUGGGUUAAAUGAGCCGAGGCCGCAGCAAUGGGUGACCGAAUCGGGAAGUGACUGCGAGGUCAGUUGCUGCCCUAUUUUUGAAUGGGACCCUAUGGCACUCUAGGCCUAAGGAUAAUUGCAAAGCUAAUGGUAUUAUGAAAACCAUAGAAAAGAAUAGAGAGCCAGCUUAAAUAAUUGAACCAGAGUUUCGGAAGCAAUUUAAUGCUAUUGGAAAAAUGGAUCAGACCGGUAAGGGGUAAAAUGGUAAAUUCACCCUUAGAGAUUACUUUUGGCCUAAGUGUCCAUUAAAAUAUAGGGAAUUAAAAUUAUGAAAAAUAGAUUACAAGUGAAGAGGUGAGUGAAAGAAA
rnacentral:misc_RNA from 1 species